CGCCCUUUGACCUGGGGCAAAAUCUAGAAAUGUGUCUCGUAUCUCCACAAGUGUAACAAGCCCUCGGUUGCUGUGAAUGCUGACCAUGGAACUGGCCCUGUCGACCUGGAUAACAACCUUGAUAACUCUCGAUCGGAGGCACACUAAUAGGAGUUGAUGGUGCACUAUAGGCUAGCUGCUCAUAAUGAAAUACAUAAGGACCACGACUACCCGAAGCACCAUGGGAUGCCUGAAGCGCUACCUAAAACGGCAUGGGAUGAUGGCCUCUACCAAAAGUACCCUUGCCUCCAGAUGCGAAACCACUUAACCAUCGAAAUGACGAGGCCGCUUAUCAGAUACCCCCCCUCUCCUGACCACGAACCAUCUCAAUCCGUCUAGCAAUCUCUACGGCCCUCUGAAAAGAAAUAUCAUCUCCGAUCUCCUUGCCCUUCUGUAGCCUAAUACUGAAAGUAUAUCCUUCAAUGAAUCUCCUCACUCUCUCCCUCUUAGUAGAGAGUAAGAUAACUGCAUGGCGAGCUAGGUCCACAAAUCGGGUCUCAAACUAGGUAACAGUCAUGCUAGAAUAAAAUCUGCGAGAGAACAAGAAUAGAAUGAUUUAAACAUCAAUGAUAGAAUAAUAUCGCGCGAUAAAGAAAGAAAUAGGAGAAAUUUUUCCUAAAACUCCAUAGCAUGUAGAAGAUAAGUACAGACAUCUCUGUACCGAUCCUCCAGACUCUAUUAAACUUGCUCGUGACUUGUGAGACCUAAGCAACCUAGCGCUCUGAUACCAACUUGUCACGACCCGGAAUCCCAACCUCGAGGUCGUGAUGGCACCUAACAUCCACUUGCUAGGCAAGCCGACGUGAAAUAGAUAAUUAACCAAACUUAAUAGUUGAAAACAAAAUAAUAACAUUCAACGAGAAAUAAAUGCCAAAUCUAGUACAGUGCGAAUAUAAACCACGUAAUACGAACUACUCCUAAAAAUCCGAAGUCACGAGUGCAUGAGCAACUAAAAGUCUACAAACAUAGACUAAAAUAAAUACAACUAUUCGAAAGAGAUAAAUAGUAAAAGUACGAAAUGGAAAGGGACUUCACGGUCUACGAACACCUACAGAUCUACCUUGAGUGUCCAUAUGAAAUUGAUCCGAGCCGACACACCUCAAGCACCGCUGGGACUAAUAUCAGUAUCUGCACAAGAAGUGCAGAAGUGUAGUAUGAGUACAACCGACCCAAUGUACUCCAUAAGCGUCGAGCCUAACCUCGACGAGGUAAUGAUGAGGCUAUAACAAGACACCUACGUAAAUAAACUUGUACAAGUGUAUAAAAAGCAGCAGAAUAACAAGAAGAAUGAUAAAAUACUAACUAGGAGGGAACAUGCAAAAAAAGAAAGAUAUAAUAAAUAUGGCAAGUAUGAAAUCACGAAAUAACAUAUUCCGAAUUAAGCAACUAUAUGACCAAGUAAAUCAUCAAAACUAGAAAUCAAUUAAAUCAAUGAUAUGAAAAUGGCAGGGCAUCACUCUUCGUGCUUUUACUCUCAUCCUCACUAUGCAAUAAUAUGAAUGUAAUGGCAUGGCAUCACCCUUCGUGCUUUUACUCUGGUCCUCACCAUGUAAUAAUAUGAAGAAAAUGGCACGGCAUCACCCUUUGUGCUUUUACUCUGGUACUCAUAAUUCAGUAAUAUGAAUGUAAUGGCACGACAUCAUCCUUCGUGCUUUUACUCUCGUCCUAACCAUGUAAUAAUAUGAAUGAAAUGGCAUGGCAUCACCCUUCGUGCUUUUAUUCUCGUCCUCACCAUGUAAUAAUAUGAAUGAAAUGGCAUGACAUCACCCUUCAUGCUUUUACUCUUGUCCUCACCAUGCAAUAAUAUAAAUCCGAAUAAUUGACAAGGCGGGUAAUAAUUUCACUUCAAAUAUAGUGCCAUGAUAUCAAACUUCAACAUCUGAAAUAUUCAACAUCUUUAAAAUAAACAAUAAAUAUGAACAAAUAAUUCAAGAAGUAAUAAUCUAACCUAAGCAUAGAUAACAUAAUUAACAAAGCAGUAUAAUACAAAGAAAAUAUUUCUACACGCAUGCUUUAACAUAAAUGAAAACGCAUAGGUACUCGUCACCUUAGACAGGGAGGUGAUAUGAAUCUCUAUCGAUAUAAUGCGGGGCUGAUUAGCUGACUGUAACGAACUUGACUCAUCCCCUAAAAAAAGAGCGAAAAGACCUUUGACCUGGAUUGUGGAUGGAUUGGGGUCGCAUUUCUUUAGGACUUUAGUCCGUUACAAGGCUCGAAGACCUCCGGCUAGAUUUGAGAUAAAUCAGGUAGAUUUCCUUGACAGGAUUAUUGGAGAAAGAUCUUCACCUUGUACUCAACAUUCGUGAACUGCAUUCGAAGACCAUUUAAAUGGAAGAAGCAAAAACUAUGAAACAUAUAUCAACAAUUUGAUUCUUUAAAACAUUUCUAAGAAAUGAAAUAUUGGUUAGAGAGAAAAAAAGUACUUUGAGAAAUAUGGAGAGUAGCAAAUAGGACAACAAGUCAUAAUCCCUCAAGUCAAAGUUAACCACGAUACUUACCUCACUCUGCAACCAAAUCAAUGCUCAACCGUGGCUUUUCCUCUAGAAUUAGCCUCCAAACCAAUCAAAUCUAACCAAAUAUAGUUCAAAUAAUUCAAAAUAAGCUUUAGAAACUACCCACGAGUGAAAAAGAUUCAAUAUUUAACGUUUUUGGAAAAAGUUAACUGCGGGCCCGCUUGGUAAAAAACCCAAGAUUCGGCUUAAAACCCAAUUACCUAUUCACCCCGAGCCGGGUUAUGUGAUUGGCUUCGAAAUUCGGCCUCAAUUUGAGGUCUAAAUCUCAAUUUCUCAAAAUCUCCAAUUUCUACAUGAAUCCCUAGUUUCUUCCUCGUGAAAAAGCAUAGAUUAAAGGUUAAAAUCAAUGGGUAUUUAUGAAAAUUUAAGGAAACAAGUUAAAAUCUACUAACCAAUUAAGUUGGGAUGAAAAACCUCUUCAAAAUUGCCUUUAGGCCGAGCUCAAACUUUAAAAUGGUGAGAAAUCCGAUAAAUACCGAUUUAUUGACUGUUUUAAAUCACUGGCGUCAGGUGUUCAUCGCGUUCGCGAGACAACUUACGCGAUCGCGAAGCAUUGGAACUUAAAUGGCCUUCACGUUUGCAAUAGCCUUACCCACUUGGCCUUCAUAUUCGCGAGCCUAGGCUAGCGUUCUCGUAGAGUGACUUCUGCCUCCCCCAUAAUCUCCCUUAACCCAUCGCGUUCGCGUGUGAACAGUCGCAUUCGCGAAGGGUAAUCCCUCCACUGCUUCGCGUUCGCGAUCGGUUCUCCACGUUCACGUGGAAGAACAUCCUCACAUGUCCUAGUUUCCCCUUUGCGAUCACGAGAGUACCUUCGCGAUAGUGAAGCACAAAACCUCAUACAUCAGCAACAGUAAAAGAAACCAGAUUUUUCUAAGUUCAAAUGGUCUGUAGCCUAUCUGAAACUCACCCGAGCUCCUCGGGCUUCAACCCAAACAUGCACACAAGUGUAAUAACAUCAUACGAACUCGUUCACGUGAUCAAAACACAAACAUAACACUUAUAACUAUGAAUCAGACAUCAAAAUGCAUGAAAUUUUCAAAGAAACUCAAGAACUUCCAAAUUCACAACCAAUAGUCUGAAUCCUAUCAAAUCAACUCCGUUUUGCACCAAAUUUUGCAGACAAGUUUUAAAUAGUAAAAUGAACCUAUACCAAGUCCCAAAACUGAAAUCUGAACACGGUAUCCAUAAAUUCAACCUACGGUCAAACUUCAAAAAUUUUUAAACCUUCAAAUUACUAGUUUUCUACAAAUCAUGUCAAAUCAAGUAAGGGAGUUCCGAAUUUGAUUCCGGGCAUAUCCUUAAGACCAAAAUCACCAUACGAGUCACCCGGAUAGUUAAAAUACCAAUCUAGGGUCAUUUCACAAAAUAUUUACCUUAGUCAACUAAAAUCAUUUUGAAAGAUAAAAUUCAUGUUUUCUUCAAUUUUUCAAAUAAAAACUUUUCGGAAAAAGACACGGACUAGGCACGCAAAUUGAAAAAUACUAAACUGAGCUUAUCGAGGUCUCAGAAUACUGAAAUAAGCGCUAGAAUUUAGAAUGACUUAUUGGGUCAUCACAAUUGCACAUGUGGGCUAUCUCUUAUGAAAAGGUUAAGGGGUGCAUGACUUCUGAUGAAUUUCCUAUAAAGAGUUCUGCCUUCAAUUCAAUGGGAUGCAUGUACUAUGAUGUGAGCUUGGAUCGCUUGAAGAAGAUGGUGCGACAGUCAGGAUGUCGAGUGUAAGAUUGUGGUUGAUAAUUCGGGAUGUCUCCUGAUCAGUGCAACAAAGAGCUUGGGAGAAAAUUUGCUGGGUAACGGUAUGAGAUCAUGCUAGUUAGGAGGCGAAGUCAUCUUGGGUCCUUAAAUUUUGUGAUUUGUGGCUUAAAGCUAAGUGGGGGAGCCUACCAUCAAUGCUUGGGUCAAGGUUAUGUCUCUUGUAGAUAUGGGUAUGUUGGCGGAUUGGUUAUGACUGAGAAAGAAAACAUCACGGGGGUAAUUCGAGCAAGGAAUCUGAUGGAUUUUUGCUUUAUUUCGUCUUAUCGAUUCAUGUGAAGAUUGUGGGAUGAGUUGGAUUUUACACUUCUUUGUGAAAGAGAAGUUGGUAUUACCAACUUAUCUUGUCUUUAAUCAUAGAUCUCUUCUAUGUUUGAUUGAUAAAAUAUAGUGUUUAUUGUAGUUUACUUCUCUUUUAUAGGUUUAAUGUGAUUUAGAAGUGAUCGGGAAGAAACCAAGUGAAAACAAGUCAAAAAGGGCUCAAAAGCAGAAGUCUGGAAAUUGGCCUCAGGUGUCACAAAUGCGAGCAGGAUCUCGCAAUUGCGAAGUCAACCAUGCCAGUCAACGUUCGCAGAUGUGAACAUGUGAAUCGCAAUUGAGAAGUCAACUAAGUCAAACAAUGUUCGCAAAUACGAAAUGAGGACCGCAAAUGCGAAGUAAAACCAAAUAGUUAACUAUCUGAAAUGCGAUAAUCAAAAGAAAAGUCAAGGUUCGCAAAUGCGAACAUCCCUUCCCAGAAGCGAAGAUCGCGCUUCAGUUCUGGGACUUCUGUAAUUUUAUAUUUUUUGGCCCCAAACCCUUUAAUACACAACAUAGCUAAUCUUUGGCAUAUCUUUGGCUAAUUUUCUGUCUCUUCUAAAAAAAAAUAAGUUUGGGAGUUAGGGUUCUUGCACACACACUUGGGUCAUGAAGAUUUGAAGCUUUUGGUUGAGAAUUUCUUACCCAGUUAUGUUCAUUUCUUCAUUUCCUUGCUUACUAUUGAAUAACUAAGUGUGUAGUAUUUUUUCCAACACUUGAAUCUUAUUUAUGGGAAUAUUCAUAUUUAAAGUGUGGAUUAAAUAUCUUGUUGUGCUUACGUAUUGAAUGAUUUUUAUUUAUAUUAAAGUGAGUUAUUAUUUCUUUAAUUAUUCUUAUUCUUUAAUGUUUCCAACGGGAUUAGUUAACCCUAGGACUUGCCUAUUAACUUUGAAUUAAUCUCGAAAAAGGUAAUUUGGGGUUGGAAAAGAUUAAUUAUAAAGAAUUUGAGGCGCUAACCCUCACUUUAUAGAUUCUACCUAGGAAUAGGAUUGAACUACUUGUAGCCAUAAUCGGUGUGCUUAACCUCUUAAUUGUUUUAGAAAUAAUUCUAUUAGAAAGUCUUGUUAGUCUUCAGAAUAAGCUAAUAAAAAAUUAUUACCCGAGGCUAAUUAAUAUAAACUCGCUCAUGUUUGUAAAAUCGUGAAAUACAUUGAAUUGUUAUUUCAGUAUAAUUCCCCAUGUAUCCAUGCUUGUAUCCAUUGAUCAUUUUACUUGCUUUCUAGGUUAAUUUAUAUUUUCGCAUUUAGACAUAAACAUUUUUGCAAUACCCUUUUAAGUGUUUGGCUUAGCAUAAUAAGCGAUAAAUCUCUUACAUUGCUUAAUCACCUACAUAUUGUUCUAUGUAGAAUUCGACUCCGACUCAUAGUUGGGUAUAUUAUAUUGCAUGCGACCGUUGUCCAUUUACUUUUUAGUAGUGAAUUUGGUUGUCAUCAAAAUCGACGCCAUUGCUAGGGAACUAUUUGGCAUAUUUAGGUUGUUUGAGAAAUAAGCGUACAUGCUUUAGUCAAAACUUGUGAAUAUUUGUGUAAUUAUUUUCUUGUUUGUGUUUGUUUUCUUGUAUAUUUUCUUAGUUUUUGAAAAAUGGCAUCACAUAAUGAAAAUUGGUCGGAUGGUAGUUGUUAAUACUUUGAUGACCAUUGUCCUUAUUGUGAAGUAACACACUCAUGGCAAAAAAAUUUAAAUUCCCCCAGGGACGAAUUGUGCAAACAAUCUCAAACUCAUGAGUGGAGUAUAUGUAAUAAGUAUGGUGGUCAAAAUGGCCAUUGGGCUAAUUGUGCUUAUUUAUCCUUUCCUUCCCCGAACCCCCACUAUGAUGAUUCUACUUUUUGUGAUGACAAGUAUAGGGAUAUGGAAGUGGAAGAAAUUGAGCAUGGUCAAAAUGGAGAGUUCAAGCUCAUGAUGGAAUUCCUACUUGAAGGAGGAAACAAAGAGCAAAAUGCCUUGGAGGAGCUUUUGGAAAAUAGUCUGCAAAAUGAUUUCGCGCUUGAAAGGUUGAACUCACAAAUGGAAGAAAUUCUUGAAGCUUUAGAGGUCCAAAAAGCCUCGAAAGUGAAUGAUAGCCAAGAACCAUCCGUAGAGGUUGAAGCCGAAAAUCCUUCUUUGUCACUUGAUCCAAAUCAAGAAGAACUCUCAAAUGUUCAAAAUAAGAGGCUAAUGCUCAUGUUGGAGGCCAUUCUUCAAAAUGAGGAGAAGCAAAAUUUGGCACUUGAGGACUUGAAACAAGCACAAAAUCGAAAUGAUGAGGCUAUCCGCACUUUGGAAGAUCAAAUGAAAUCAUUGGUUGAGUCUCAUUAUGCCUAUCAAUCUGAGAGUGUGGAAAGUGGUCAAGAAGAGUCCAACUUCGAGGAAGAAAAUGAGCUUCAUUUUGAGGAAUUAAGAAUUGAACAUCCGGCAACUGAGUCCAAGCUUGUUGGUGACGCCGAGAAAAUAUGAAAUUAGAGUCAACCGGCGUAGUUGAAAAGAAGGUUGAAAUUGACCCUAGUUUAGGUCAUAAGAGGAUGUCAAAAUCCAGAAAAAGUUGCAAGUUGGGAGUUUGAUAUCUCAUUCCAAACACUUUUCAACUUUGGACUUGUACGGUGAUAUGGGAAUUGAUCCAUGUAAAUCCAUGAGGGCGUGCAAAGAAGAAAGACAAAAGCCAUACAUCUUGCAAUUUUAAAGUUCAAAAACGCAGAAUGGCAUUCCUCAUAAGAGAGCCAAGAAAUGCAAAAUGAAGAAAUUAAAGUUUAACUUAAUCAUCUACUUACCAUCCCCACCGCUCGUAGUCACAAGCUUGAUUCCAAGGGUGCCCAUUUCAUAUUCUCCAAGUGGAUAGAAAAGUGAUAAAGUUGACUCGCAUCGUGCCACGACGUUAAAUGCGGUGCUUAGUGAGAGGAAACCCAUCGUUUUCAUGUUUUUAGUCAUUAUUUUAUUUUAUUUUUCAAAUGCUCUCUUUAGAAUAGUUUAUUUUAUUAUUUUUGAUCAAUCUUCCAAGUUUCAGGAAGUUUGGAAGUGUUUGGGACAACAAGCAAGGAGAUUAAUCAAUAAAGAAAUAACAGUCCAGGCUUCAGUUGUCGCAUUUGCGAACAUAGGUUUACAUUUGCGAACUGGGAGCCCAUCGCAAAAAUGAAGUUAGACUUGCAACAACAACCCUGAUGACUUUUUGACCAUUCAUAAUUGCAAGCUCUCUGUCACAGUUGCGACCUACUGAGGCCCUUAUAUGGGGUUUUGCUUAACACUUAGCAAAAAUUCAAAAAAUAAUUGAGGCUCUAAAAUUGAACGACCGGUAUCUUCCUCACUCUCCCAGCUCUCAAGCUCCACCAUUUUCACUCCUAAUUGCAAGUAUCAAGGUACGAAAUAUUACUCUUUGUGCUCUUCAUGAUUUGUAGCAUCUUCUUCUUCUUCUCUCCUUUAUCCCUCAACAGUUAGGAUUCAAAUGGAUUCUUCUCUUUUGUGAGAAUUGUUUGAAAAAUAACUCAAAUGUGUUCUGAUUUCUGGGUGAGGUUGAUUGAGAAUGCGAGCCUCGUUCUUUGCUUGAAAAAUGGGAAAGUCUGAGUUCCCAUAACUUUGCUAAAAUAGGAGUGACUUUGUGUGCUUACUAUGUGUUUUAUGAAAGGCCUGAAUGAAAUUCUUGGUCGGAUCAUUGAAAUUUCAUCAAUUCGUGGUUGUGUGUGAAGUUUAUUGCAUGUUUGUGUACCUAAAAACUGAUUGUGCUCUUUAAAAGUGUACCUUUGUUUUAAAUUUUUGGAGAUUGGGUCUGUUCUGUGAGAUAAGACUGCUAGGGAAGACGAGCUCGCAAUUGCGAUGGCCUUUUCGUAUUUGCGAGUUUCGCAUUUGCGAAGAUGUGAUCGUAAUUGCGAACAUAGACAUAUCUUGCAACCUUCAUAUUUGCGAAGAAGAGCUUGCAAUUUUGAGAUUUAAAGAUGUCUGAUGCCUUCCUAAUUGUGAAGUAUGUAUCACAAUUGCGACAUUAGAGAGUUGUGUUCAGCAGAUCUGAAAAUCCGAAAAUUAUUUCUAAGGCUGGAUCUCGACUGUCCAACCAUUUCUUUCGUGUAUUUGAGUCAUUUUGCAAUGCAUUUCAUAUCCAUAUCAAGUUUUCACUCCAAUCCUUUGUUUGCAGGUACCAUAAGCUAAAAAUGAGCGCUAGUUCCGCUAAGGCUCUAAAAUUGAACGACUGGUAUCUUCCUCACUAUCCCAACUCUCAAGUUUCACCAUUUUUUACUCCUAAUUGUAAGUAUCAAGGUAUGUAAGCUUACUCUUUGUGCUCUUCAUUAUUUGUAGCAUCUUCUUCUUCUUCUUCUCUCCUUUACCUCUCAACAGUUAGGGUUCAAAUGGAUUUUUCUCUUCUGUGAGAAAUUGUUUGAAAAAUAGCUCAAAUGUGUUCAGAUUUCUGGGUGAGGUUGGUUGAGAGUGCGAGCCUCGUUCUUUGCUUGAAAAAUGGGAAAUCUGAGUUGCCAUAACUUUGUUGAAAUAGGAGUGACUUUGUGUGCUUACUAUGUGUUUUAUGAAAGGCCUGAAUGAAAUUCUUUGUCGAAUCAAUGAAAUUUCAUCAACUCGUGGUUGCGUGUGAAGUUUAUUGCAUGUUUGUGUUCCUAAAAACUGAUUGUUCUCUUUAAAAGUGUGCCUUUGUUUUAAAUUUUUGGAGAUUGGGUCUAUUAUGUGAGAGAAGACUGUUGGGGAUGACGAGCUCGCAAUUGCGAUGGCCUCUUCGCAUUUGUGAAGAUGUGAUCGUAAUUACGAACAUAGUCAGAUCUGGCAACCUUCGCAUUUGCGAAGAAGAGCUCGCAAUUUGGAGCUUUGAAGAUGUCUGCUGCCUUCCUAAUUGCAAAGAAUUUAUCGCAAUUGCGACAUUAGAGAGUUGUGUUCUGCAUAUCUGAAAAUCCGGAAUUUUUUUCUAAGGUUGGGUCUCGACUGUCCAAUCAUUUUGUUUGGUGUAUUUGACUCAUUUUGCAAUGCAUUUCAUACCCAUAUCACGUUUUCACUCCAAUCCUUUGUUUGCAGGUACCAUAAUCUAAAAAUGAGCGCUAGUUCCGUUGAGUCCACGCAUGGCAACCUUUGGAAAUUGAGGAGAACUAUGACCUAUACCGAUUCUUGUCAUUGGAAUACCAAGAACGAUACUAUGCCGAGUUGAUCUCGAAGAAGUUGCUCCUAGAAAGUGGUAUAUUUAUGGAAAAGGUCCCUGAACUCCUUCCUGAGUUCCCUCAGAGGCUUGUGGCUGUGGAAUGGACCUGUUUUGCCCCUCAGCCUUUCAAAGCAAAUGAACAAUGGGUGAGGGAAUUUUAUGCGAUUCUUCGGGCCACCAAGUUAAGAAAUCAAAUCAUGAGGAUUAAUGGCAAAAUGGUGAACUUCAGAAUUGAUGCUGUGAAUCAAAUCUAUCGCCUGCAGGAGCAUGACAUGGCACCAUUCCGUGAGAAGGAUCGUGCCUCAAGCAAGUGGUUGGUCUCAAAAUUAUGCGCAAGUGCAGAUUGUCAUAAAGAAUCUUAAGCGGCAUGUUCUCUAGGGGAUUCAAAGAAAAAUACUCAGACAAUGUACCCAUGGGCAUAAGAAGAAUCCUAUUAACAAGGCUUCUACUUUUCUAGAAACAACAGUAAGAUAAGCUCGCAUGCCUUCCUUGAUAUAAAGAAUUUCAGCUAACAUCAGGGUAAACAUGCUAGAACCCAAAAGAAUAUUUCACAGCAGGAAAGGGGAAUUCUUAUUAACAUGAUUUCUAAGGAGGAACAAGUAUUAUGACGUACAAAUGUAUCACUAAUGCAAAUGAUUGGGUUAUUUAACUACGUGAACAUGCUUCCAUGCAUACUGAAUCUUAUGUAUAAUCUACUAUGUUUUAGAGAUUAACAGGGGAGACAUUUUAACAGUAAGAAGCAAAUGGAGCUUUGAGGUAGCAAGGCAUGCAAACACAUGAGAAAAUCUAGAAGAAAUUAUGGCAUAAACUUGAAUUUCAUAUAGGCCAUCUAUUCACACAGUCUUGGAGUUAGAAGAAAUCCAACUUUAGUAAGUUUAAAGAAAUACCACUAAACCAUGAAGACACAAAGAUCAAAUACCACUAAACCAUGAAGACACAAAGAUCCUUAUGAAGAGGAUUUCUAUUUAAUAGCCAUAAGAACAUAGUUUACAGGAAUGCAAUCAGGUAUCUAGAGUUAAUACACAUAAAGAAUAAGAGGCAUUUCAAGAGUACUAACCAGUAUCGAAGAGCAAUGAUAAUGACUAAGAAAAAUAAGAAAUUCUAGAGUCUGAAAUAAAAGAUGUGAAGAAUGCCCUUUGACAACGACCCUUUGACAACAAUGUAACCUCAAGUUUUCUAGUACUUCCGAGUUCACAAGGUCCUCAUAGAUUUUCGAGCAAGGCUUGUGCCGGAGGACGUUAUUUAAAUGAGAUCUAUUUGGCCUUGCUUUUCAUCCGGCCAUCGCCAUUAACGAGCAUAAACAAACUUGGAAAUAUCAAGAGUUAUUAGUAGCUUUGAACUACAAGAAUAACAAAGAAGCAGUAGUAUUGCAAGAGUGAGAAAUAUGCGACUUGGAGUCUGCCUCUAAGGGGAAGAGGGGAGGGGAUUAUAUAGUGUCAAAUUAGGCGAACAAAUAUGGAAAAGAAUCAAUUAAACAAUAAUUAAGAAGAAGUAUUGCAUGCAAACCAAUUUUAAAUCGGAUUAGGGCAAAGAUUGCGCAAACCCUAUUUCAAUAGGAAAUUCAGAGAAAUGGAAAAUAAUCUAGUAAGAUCACCCGCAUAUCCUUGCUUCAUGGUAUGGAGUCAAAACUGUAGUAAACAUUCAUAAUCAAAGCCAAAUAGGCUUCGUAAUCACUGGUUAUCAUAGGUGGUCCAGUACCAGAUGAGAUAUGCUAUCAAAGGUGAGGAGAUCCUUACUAGAAUAGAAAAAGGAAAUGAAAUAUUGAAGAUUUUCAUUUAAUCCGGGUUUUGGGGAAAGGGCUAGGGUUUCCGGUGAGAGAGGAGAGGGGAUGGAGGCGGCUAAGAAAGAGAGAGAGUGAGUUAGAGUUUUACGGGUUAGGGAAAAUAAGGAAAGGAAAGAGCAAUUUAUGAGUAGUUGAACACUUGAGAUCAAGG
rnacentral:lncRNA from 1 species